GAUGAACGCUGGCGGUGUGCCUAAUACAUGCAAGUCGAGCGAAUGGAUUAAGAGCUUGCUCUUAUGAAGUUAGCGGCGGACGGGUGAGUAACACGUGGGUAACCUGCCCAUAAGACUGGGAUAACUCCGGGAAACCGGGGCUAAUACCGGAUAACAUUUUGAACCGCAUGGUUCGAAAUUGAAAGGCGGCUUCGGCUGUCACUUAUGGAUGGACCCGCGUCGCAUUAGCUAGUUGGUGAGGUAACGGCUCACCAAGGCAACGAUGCGUAGCCGACCUGAGAGGGUGAUCGGCCACACUGGGACUGAGACACGGCCCAGACUCCUACGGGAGGCAGCAGUAGGGAAUCUUCCGCAAUGGACGAAAGUCUGACGGAGCAACGCCGCGUGAGUGAUGAAGGCUUUCGGGUCGUAAAACUCUGUUGUUAGGGAAGAACAAGUGCUAGUUGAAUAAGCUGGCACCUUGACGGUACCUAACCAGAAAGCCACGGCUAACUACGUGCCAGCAGCAGCCGCAG
rnacentral:rRNA from 1 species